rnacentral:rRNA from 1 species
GAUGAACGCUGGCGGCGUGCCUAAUACAUGCAAGUCGAGCGAACAGACGAGGAGCUUGCUCCUCUGAUGUUAGCGGCGGACGGGUGAGUAACACGUGGAUAACCUACCUAUAAGACUGGGAUAACUUCGGGAAACCGGAGCUAAUACCGGAUAACAUUUUGAACCGCAUGGUUCAACAGUGAAAGACGGUCUUGCGGUCACUUAUAGAUGGAUCCGCGCCGCAUUAGCUAGUUGGGAAGGCAAAGGCUUACCAAGGCAACGGUGAGUAGCCGCCCUGAGAGGGUGACCGGCCACACUGGAACUAGGACACCGUCCAGACUCCAACGGGAGGCAGCAGUAGGGAAUCUUCCGCAAUGGGCGAAAACCUGACGGAGCACCGCCGAGUGAGUGAAGAAGGUCUUCGGCUCGUAAAACUCUGUUAUUAGGGAAGAACAAAUGUGUAAGUAACUAUGCACGUCUUGACGGUACCUAAUCAGAAAGCCACGGCUAACUACGUG